GCUCUCAAAGUGUAAUUAGUUCUGCACGCCGCUCUGCGAAGGCGGAAGUUCGUGGUGCAAAUCCACGUGAGAGCACCA
rnacentral:tRNA from 1 species